rnacentral:rRNA from 1 species
AUCCCUUGACAUCCAGAGAAGCGACUAGAGAUAGACGUGUGCCUUCGGGAACUCUGUGAC